UAUGCACUUUCACCAACACAAAGUAAAUUGCCUCGAAUCUGAAUAAAUUUUAAGUCGGAACUGAAUCUUUAUUUAGCGAUUGCUUUAUUAUCACAAGAUCAGUGAUGGCAGAAUGCAGAGAUCCCUGAAUGCAGUAUGUGUCUGAGGAAGGACUCCCAAUCAGCAGAAAAACAUCCAGAGAGGCAGACUGAGAUUGGACAGUGAUCUACAGCAGCCAUCUACAGGGUCACUGUGGGAUGAAGGGAGAAAGAACAUUUCCAUAAAGUCUUGAUUCAGAACCAGAAGGAGGAGUUACGCUGAACUUGACUGCUGACCUGACAGUGAGAAUGGAGCUAUUGUACCCAGCACUGAAUAUGCAGAUCUGUGCUGCCUCUUGCUGAGCUUCACAUGGCAGUCGCCCUUGGAGAGAGAGGAACCCUUCACAGAUCUGAAAGUUGCUGACUGCCAGAGACCAAAACCCUGAACAAGACCCUGAUGUCAGUAGGUUCCAGAGCCAUUAAGAGGCUAAAAUACAACUUUUAACCUCACUCCUUUUUUUCUCCGUUUGCUGUACGGUAAUCAAUGGAUUGCAAAUCACAUACAGCAGCUUGGCUCAUGUCGUCAUCUUUGUGCUAUUUAGCAAACUACAAGCUACAUGUGCUCGAUUAAUGGUAAAGUUUGUCAGGGAAGCAGAAAUGCCUUUUUGGUACUGCAUGAAUUGAACCUGCUCGUUUGGUUAAAGCACUAAUUACCUCAUUGAUUCAUUUGCAUUAAGCCUUCUCUCUAAACUACUUUAGUUGGUGGAGAGGAGUUAAAAUUUCAUUCAGGACAAAAUCUGAUACAAACUAAUGCUGGGGAAGGAAAAACUAACGGUAUGCCUUCUGUUGUUCACUGCAUGGCAUUCCCUAUCACUGUGGAACAUUCAGGGUAAAGAAAACACCAUUUGUAAUCACUGGAUGCACAAAGCAAACACACAGAAAGAAAUGUCAUGCCCUUGUCCUGAACCUCAGCAAAAGGCAGAACCCCUCUCUGCUCUUUGCACAGGCUCAGGAAGGCCAGCCUUCACCUAAGUCAUGUGUGAGAUUUUGGCUGUAUUUCAAAUUGUGAUGAAGAUAGAGCUCCUUAUGAUUUGAUGCAGUUAUGAUGGCAAACGGUUAUCCUGUUUGUUUUUUCUCCUGCCAUCUGAGUCAUAGAGGUUGUGUUAUCCAGGAAAUUUUUAAAUGCUUUCUUCUGUCUUCAUCAUGACAGAAUUUUCUUGUUAGUCAUGCGCUGAAACAUAGCUCUCAGCUCAGUCCUACAGCUCCUCUUUAAGGUGCUUCCCUCAGCAGUAAGCCAUCUCUUGUAUGCAAAAAAAAAAAAAAAGAAAAGAAAAUACACUGAAAAACUUAAAGCAGAGAAUAUGCUUCAGUCCUAUGAUGAGAUCUAUAAACAUCUGACAAAAAAAAUUAUGUUUCAUUUGUUUUAUGUAAAAUUAAUUGUUCUAUAAUUCAGUGCUCAGUUGUUUCUUCUAACAGCUGAAUGAACAUAUUUCUUGUCUUAGGAGAAAUAGCUUUCUGCUGUCACCUAUUAAUGAGUUAGAAAAGACUGUUUGCAUAUCAUCUUGUCAAAUACUUGGAUUGUUUUGCACCAUAGCAACAAAGCUGAAACAACUGUACAAGGUAGAACUGCAGAAUGUCUAACUAUGAC
ensembl:lncRNA